UGUUAAAUGUGAACGAUAAACGAUUUAUUUAUUUCCGCGAUACAUAAACUUAUUUGCAUUUCGAUAAAGUUGGAGAUGGUGUAAGAUCGGUUAAGCAGCUCGUCCGUGUCGAUUACGCAAGAGAUUUGUCUCGGACUGACAUCAUUCUUUGGCACGGGUAGUACAGAAAAGAUGCGAUUUACACGGACAGUAAAGUCGUUUCUUCAGUUGGCAUUUUCCAACAAGCGAGGAGUCUCUUUUGCGGCUUGCCGAGCUAGAAGACUCUCGACGACCUUGCAAUGCCAUCGGGUAUGCCAUGCAAAACGCUAACUCUAACUCGCGUGCACCUUUUUUUCUUUCUUGCUUGUUUCUUUCUUCUCUUUCUACCAUGACUAUUAUGUCGCUAUGAUGAAACGAUUGGAUGGAUGGAUGGAUGGAUGGAUGGGUGAAUAGAUAUCUGUUUCUCUUUUCCGUCUUUUUUUUUUUUUGGAUUUAACGUUAACUCACGUCAGAACCAAUUUCUUUCGAUUUAGCUCGAUUCGAGGAAAAUUGCCAAUUAUGGGAAGCUAGUCUAAUUUAAGGAUAUGUCUGUUUAUGUAUAACAACAGAAAAAAAAAAAUGCUAUGCUCAUCUUUGAUAACGAACGCAAUUUAUAGAAAAAUCUUUGGAAAUUUUUCAAACUCGUCGACAAAAACUGCGCUUGCCCGAUUAUUUUCUAACAUAAUCGAUCGAUUCGAUAAAUGUACGAAUUUCGACAAAUUUACAAGAGGAUCGUUUACUACGAACACAUUUUACGAUCGAUUACAAACACGUUCAUUUAAAUCAACAGAAAGCAACACGUGCGAUCAAAGCCAUUAGAAAAAUAUCGAAACUCGAGAGAAAAUGUAAACUCUUCUGUUUUAUCUCAACUUCCUUUUUCGCGAAUCAUCGAUGCCUAUCCGACGUGUUGAUAUCAUUUGAAAUUUAAAUUACAAAUUAUUUUAAUCCAUGUUGUAAGCAGAGAUUCGAAAAUAAAAUUGAAAAAAGAAAAGAAAAAGAAGGAAAGAAUAAGAAUAAAAAUAAAAAUAAGAAGAGGAAGAAAAAAAAAGAAAAAGAAGAAGAAGAAGAAAGAUCAUCAAGAAUGUUUUUAAUAAUAUUCUAAAAGGAAAGUAUUUUCUUUCGAUAGAAAUUCGAAAAGUUUUUUUAAAACACUUCUUACGAGAAUCAAAUACCACGAGGACGAAUUUUGCGACAUCAUUUUCGUACUAUUUAUAUGAGAAUGUAUGUAUGUAUGUAUGUAUGAAUGAAUGAAUGAAUGAAUGAAUGAAUGAACUAGGAGAGGUAUAAAGAUAAAUUCAACAUUCUCUCUCUUUCUCUUUCAAAAGUCCAGUGUGAAAAGAAAAAGAAAUAAAAAGAAUAAAAGAAGAAAUAAAAGAAGAAAAAAAGAAAUAAAAAAGAAUAAAGAUAAACGAACGGAGAAUUAAAUGAAGAGGAGCUAUGAAGUUACGGAAGUGUGAAAGGUAGAUAAAAGAGGAAAGAGAAUAAAUAAAAGAAAAGAAAGAAAAAAGAAAGAGAGAGAGAGAGAGAAAGAGAGAGAAAAAAAAGAAACAGAAUGAAAGAAAGAGAUAAAUGCUGCAUUACACGUUUAUACGCCUCAGAAUAUAUCGAUUCUACUUUACGUAAUCGAAUAGAAAAUAGUUGCUCACUUAAUCUCCAAGAAUGAAACAUCGAAGAAACGUACUAGACUCUCAACAGAGUCCUUUUUCCUACGAAUACACAGUUAGAGUUCGAGCUGUGUAUACGAAUGCGAAUGGCAUUAUAAUGAACGAAAGCAAGAUACGUGUACGUGGAUCUACACGAUCUUAUGUUAGUUAUCUCUUACAUAACGCACGUCGCACACAAUUUUCCUGUAAACAACGACAUUUUCAACGUCUAUUCGUAGAGUCUCACGAUCUAAAGUUAUCAAAAAAAAAAAAAAUAUAUGUAUAUAUGUACAUAGACGCAAAAGAAUGAUAUCGUUAAACAAAAUAAAACAAAACAGAAAUAAC